rnacentral:snRNA from 1 species
GUACUCGCUUCAGCAGCACAUAUCCUAAAAUUGGAACCAUAGAGAUUAGCAUGGCCCCUGCAAGGAUGACAUACAAAUUGGUGAAGCAUUAUUUAAAAAA